GCAUCGAUAGCUCAGUGUCAGAGCGGUGGGAUGUUGAAUUAUGCGGCCCGGGUUCGAGCCCCGGUCGAUGCA